rnacentral:lncRNA from 1 species
CUAUGCUGUGGUUUCUGGACCAGCAGGAAAAUCAGAAGACAAAUUUAGGAACCCUGCCCUAGUCCUCUGGGCAAAGCAUUCCUCCUCCUCAGGCUAUCCUGACAACUCCAGCCUAUCUGUUGGCCCUCAUCCAGUGGCUGAUGGAAGCAGAGACAGACAUCCACAGAUAUACACUGAGCUGAAAUCUGGAAUUUAGUUGAAGAGAGGGAGGAAUGAAGAUCGAAGGAGUUUGUACCAGGUUGGAGAAACCUACACAAACAGUUGACCUGAACAAGAGGGAGCACAUCGACCCCAGAUGCUGUCUGGGAGGCCAGUACAAGACUGAUCCAGACCCCUGAACAUGGAUGUCAAUAAGGAGGCCUCUGUACUCCAGGAAGCCUCUGGAAGUGGAUUAGUAUUUUUCCCUGGUGUAAGAAGGAACUUUGAGAGCCCAUCCCACGUGAAGGGAUACACUCUGGCCCUGGACACAUGGGGAAGGCCUCAGGCCCAGCACAGGA